GGGGAAUAUUGCGCAAUGGGCGAAAGCCUGACGCGGCGACGCCGCGUGGGUGAUGAAGGCCUUCGGGUCGUAAAGCCCUGUCGGGAGGGACGAAACCUCGGUGACCUAAUACGUCACCGACCUGACGGUACCUCUUAAGGAAGCACCGGCUAACUCCGUGCCAGCAGCCGCGGUAAUACGUAGGGAGCAAGCGGUGUUCGGAUUUACUGGGCGUAAAGGGCGCGUAGGCGGCGCGGUAAGUCACUUGUGAAAUCUAUGAGCUUAACUCAGAACGGCCACGUGAUACUGCUGUGCUAGAGUGCGGAAGAGGCAACCGGAAUUCUUGGUGUAGCGGUGAAAUGCGUAGAUAUCAAGAGGAACACCAGAGGCGAAGGCGGGUUGCUGUGCCGACACUGACGCUGAUGCGCUAAAGACAGGGGAGCAA
rnacentral:rRNA from 1 species